rnacentral:rRNA from 1 species
UACGGUAGGUGGCGAGCGUUAUCCGGAAUUAUUGGGCGUAAAGAGCGCGCAGGUGGUUGAUUAAGUCUGAUGUGAAAGCCCACGGCUUAACCGUGGAGGGUCAUUGGAAACUGGUCGACUUGAGUGCAGAAGAGGGAAGUAGAAUUCCAUGUGUAGCGGUGAAAUGCGUAGAGAUAUGGAGGAACACCAGUGGCGAAGGCGGCUUCCUGGUCUGUAACUGACACUGAGGCGCGAAAGCGUGGGGAGCAAACAGGAUUAGAUA